UAAGGAAUAUUGGGCAAUGGUCGAAAGACUGACCCAGCCAUGCCGCGUGCAGGAUGAAGGCCCUAUGGGUUGUAAACUGCUUUUAGCCGGGAAUAAACACCCGUUUUAUAACGGGCCCGAAGGUACCGGCUGAAUAAGCAUCGGCUAACUCCGUGCCAGCAGCCGCGGUAAUACGGAGGAUGCAAGCGUUAUCCGGAUUCACUGGGUUUAAAGGGUGCGUAGGCGGUCGAGCAAGUCAAGGAUGAAAUCCCGAGGCUCAACUUCGGAAUUGUUCUUGAAACUGUUCGGCUUGAGGGUAGUUGAGGAGAGCGGAAUUCCCGGGUGGAGCGGUGAAAUGCGUAGAUAUCGGGAGAACACCUGAGGCGAAGGCGGCUCUCUAAACUCUCCUGACGCUGAAUCA
rnacentral:rRNA from 1 species